rnacentral:rRNA from 1 species
UACGUAGGGCGCAAGCGUUGUCCGGAAUUAUUGGGCGUAAAGAGCUCGUAGGCGGUUUGUCGCGUCUGCUGUGAAAACCUAAGGCUCAACCUUGGGCUUGCAGUGGGUACGGGGCAGACUAGAGUGCGGUAGGGGGUGACUGGAAUUCCUGGUGUAGCGGUGGAAUGCGCAGAUAUCAGGAGGAACACCGAUGGCGAAGGCAGGUCACUGG